rnacentral:lncRNA from 1 species
UUAAAUUUUAAAUUUUAAAUUUUAAAAUUGAGAUUUAAAAUUUAUUUUAAAACGACAAAAUUUUUUAUAGAAAAAAUAUAGUUAUAGUACAAAAAAAUUAAUAAAAAAUAUAUUAAUAUUUAAUUAUGUAGUGGAUGAAAAAAGUAAUAUUGUUGUAAUUUUUUAAAAUUUCAAGCCCUUGUCAUUCAUAUUUACUCUUAUAUGUUGUAUUACAUAAAUAUCAUGUGCAAUUAAAAGAAAAUGAUAUACUCGAUCUACAUUUGCAAAUGCAUUUUUUCUAAUUAAUUAAUCGAUAAAAUUUACAAUUUAAUUUUCGAGAAAAUUAAAACGUCAAAAUUGGUCUUCUCCCUAUUAAUUUGUGAGAGGGGCAAUUUCGGUAAUUUCAAAUUUCAACAACCCACUAUCCUCUUAUCCUCAAAAACCAUCCAAAUAUUAUUUUUUUAAUCCCUGUUUAUAUUCCUAUUUUCAUCUAAACAAAAAAAUACUUUUAUCUCUUCUUAUACCUACACUUGUAUUUAUUCCUGAAAUUGCUAGUUCUUGCUUAUACCCGUAUCCAACGAAGCCUAAGAAAUAGAAAAAAAAACUAAAUUAAAGGUUAGUAAAAGAGACAAAGAGAUGGUGUUAGAGAGAGAAAGGAUUAGGUUUAGACAGAGGAAGAGAUGAGGUUACAGAGAGAGAUAAGGUAAGAGAGAGAAUGGAGUAGUGAGUGAUGGACGAUUCAUCAAAUGACCAACAGGUAGGGCCGGAG